UUUUGUCUUUUAUUUUUUAUUUAUUUUUAUUUUAUAAGACUUUACAACCAACUCUUCUGGUUCAUUAAAAAAUUAUUGAUUCAGAAGGGGAGGCUCUCUCUAACCUUUUUUCUGCACAAUUUGAUUCUUGGAACAAUCAUGUCUUCUUCUAUGAAGGUAUUCUCCUUUUAGGACUUAGGCACUUUUUCUUUUGUGCUUUCUUUAUCUGAAAGAACCAAAACAAUCUUGUUCGAGUCUUGGAUUUCCUGUCUAGAGUCUAGACUAUAUUGAUAGAGGAGUGGAUGUUACUUGGUUCAUUUACGGAAUUUGUUCCUAAUGUUGUAACUGUAAUUGGAUAUGAUUUAUGAUCAUAUGUGACUGUUUAUUAUCAUAGAAUAUUGGAUUCUUUGUUUGAGUUUUAAACUCAUGGUUCUUUAUUUGAUUGAUUGGGUUAUGUCAAACUUGUUCAAUUUCCAAUUUUUGGAUAAAAUACAUGUUUUUCUUGCUACAUAUCAAACAUCAUAUGGACCAGUAAUUGGAACACUUUAUGUAUCAAAUAGAAGAUUGGCCUUUUGCAGCAACUAUCCACUGAGUCAUUUUCCAUGCAAAAUAAUAGCAUUUACUAGAAGGUACUUUCUUCCUUCCUUUACUAAACAAAUUUACGGGAAACUAUUUGUAUUCAGUAUUGUUUUUUUAUGUUAGACAUUGUAGGUGGCAGUGCAGCUGGAUUAGUUUUUAUUUGGUAAUACCAAAUAUAUCAUUCACCCUAUGACAAUGAAUUAAUCUCUUUCGGGGUGCGUGACUUUUCCUCCCAAUAACUGUGACUUACAUAAAUCGAAUUAUUAAUUUUUUUAGCAGAACCUUACACAACUAGACCAACAUCUUGUUAGUCACAGCCAUAUCAAUUGAGCAUGCAUGGGUUGUCCUUCCACAAACUGAUUAAACCCAAAGGAAAAAGUACAUCCAGCUUGUCACAGUGGAUGGUUAAGAAUUAUUUUUUAUGGUUUUUUUUGGCAUAUAACAAGACUAUAUAUAAGGCCUUACAGCAAUAUCACAAUUCACAACCACUCUAGAGGAAACAUGAGUAUUGAGGUGCUGUAACAAUCAUUGUACAAAAACAUUUUCACCUAUGUGCUUAGGCACACUACCCUUGAAUAACAAUUUACCCUAUACUUCUUCACUUUCUCUUUAAACAAAUCUCAAACGACAUGUGUUCAUUAAGCCAAGUGGUGAUUCAGAUUUAAGAUAUAUCUCAACCACGUGUGGAUUUCAG
rnacentral:lncRNA from 1 species